UAAGGAAUAUUGGGCAAUGGACGCAAGUCUGAACCAGCCAUGCCGCGUGGAGGAUGAAGGUCCUCUGGAUUGUAAACUUCUUUUAUCUGGGACGAAACACUUCUUUUCUAAGAGGCCUGACGGUACCAGAUGAAUAAGCACCGGCUAACUCCGUGCCAGCAGCCGCGGUAAUACGGAGGGUGCAAGCGUUAUCCGGAUUCACUGGGUUUAAAGGGUGCGUAGGUGGGUAUGUAAGUCAGUGGUGAAAUCCCCGAGCUUAACUUGGGAACUGCCAUUGAUACUAUAUAUCUUGAAUACCGUAGAGGUAAGCGGAAUAUGUCAUGUAGCGGUGAAAUGCUUAGAUAUGACAUGGAACACCAAUUGCGAAGGCAGCUUACUAUGCGGUGAUUGACACUGAGGCACGAAAGCGUGGGUAGCAAACA
rnacentral:rRNA from 1 species